GUGUAUGGCUAUACCAUCCUGAAUCCCUGAAUGUGCCUGACUUCCUUUGAAGGCCUGUUUAGUACUUAGAUGGAAGACAAAUAUGACCAUAUUCCUGCAGAAG
rnacentral:rRNA from 1 species